UUAGUGAUGAAAAAUAAUUUUAUGAAGCACGUAUUAAUUAAUAUUUAAUUAAAUUUAUGUUGAUAAUAACUUUAAUUAAAUAUUAAUUAAUGUGUGUGUUUGAUUUCGACAAACGUUAUAAACAAGUACAAAGACAUCUCUAUUCAUAUAGGAUUAUUUUUUAUUUCUACUUUACCUAUCAUUUUAAAAUAUACGUUUAUAUCUUGAAGGUGAUUUGAGUGAUCGUGAUAAUCUAUAAAGAUAUAUUUGUCACAUUAGGGACGAACUCAAAUUGAAAUCGAGCGAUUCUCUCGGGACGAGGUUGCGUGUUUCCAUUAGGAAAUUCGCAUUAGCGUAUGCACGCGUGUCGUGUAGAAACAGGGGUGCACGCAUGUUAUACGCAUAUUAUACGCUCGUACGAGGAGAUCGCAAUGGAUGAUGUGCAGUUUGACGCGAGCUCGGUCGAGUCCAGCCGAAGUGUAACUAGUCCCAAUCGAAUUCUCCCUCUUCGCGUGGAAAGGGAUAUGUCUUUUAGGAAUUUAGCUCCAUUGCCGAAUAGGACUGUACAUUACGCACACCUAACGCAUACGUUGCACCCUGUGAUACCCUGUUGUACCGUUGAUCCUAAGUACACGUGCGGUACAUGUGCAUCGCGUUAUAGGAUCGAAUAUAAUGGGAUAGCUCGAUAUCGUCCGCGAGGAUUAUACCCGGUACACGCGAAUAUUAAGACGAUCAUGAUCACGUCCUGGAAUAAUUGAGUUGCUGCACGCACGCACGGGGAGGGUUUGAUGGAUUCCCGCACCGAUUUCUGUAAGUCGGCAUUACCUCUCUAUGGGAGAUUAUUUUCGUAAUUGGUUAUUAAUCCGCGUAAGUGAAUCUCACAUGGUUGUUAAGGUAAUUACGGUCUCUCUAUCUAUCUAUCUAUCUCUAUCUCUCUCUCUCUCUUUCUUUCUGUCUCUCUCUCAGGAUUGAAUAGACGCAUCAGGACAAUCCUUCGAUUACGGAUGUCCGUAACAAUCGUUGAUGUUUCUCCUAAAAUUACUUAUAUGAUUUGCUAUUGUCUAAUGUACAACAGUAAUUGGUAAUACAAAUUAAUGUAUUAUUAUUAUAUAGUUUAGAAUCUGUUGCAGUCAAUUUCAUGAAUUUCGAAUUUAGUUAUUUUUUAAAUGUGUUAAAUAGUUUUACAGCUAUUAUUUACAUCCUGUAAAGUUCCUAUAUGUUAUUGACGAACCAAAUCUUCUUUUGUUAGGCUAAACAGAUUGAUACUGAGUCAAUUGCGUAAAGAAUCCAAUUAAAUGGAAUUUAAAGUUCUUCCGCUUUAACGUCUGAGUUGACAUACGCAGGCGAACAUUAUUAUUGCGUCACACAUGUCAACGGUAAAAAGUCGCGAUGCUAGCUAUUUUACGGCUUUUUGUCAAAGUCAUCGUUUUCGCGGUCCGGUUACGGUGCAUUGCCGCGCGAUGAAACCGCACGAUGAUGCACUGUUACGAGAACAUUGAAAAAAAGGCGCAAUGUUUUUAGUGAGUUACACGGCACUGGCGGUAGUUACGAGCAAGGUGUUUUACGCGCCGGUCCGUUUAAACUUGCGCUAAUGAAAAUACUGCGCUGUCAGGGCGUCGCAAAUAUUGCGCCGCUAUAAAAUUGCAUAUUGUUAAUUUACAGCAAUGCGGGAGAGGAGGGGAGGGGCUCUCCCUCGGCGCCUCGCGGGAAUUCGCGGGUGUCAUUGUUUCGUAGUGAAUAUAAGCAACGGCGUAAAAACGAUGAAAUAUUUUCCCGUUGCUACCGGCCGGAUAUUAUCAGAUUAUAGAACGAACAGGCGGGCGUUGUGGAAGCCGACCGUGUGUAGCACACGUUUGCUUGCGCAACGUUAAUCGUGAACCCGCACCCGUUUAAAUCCAUUCAACCCUUUUCACGCGCUGCUCGCACAGAUGGGGCAUCUUGAACCGCCGCGGUGGCUUAUAAUGCUUACAUUGAAGACAAUAAUACUGGUAAACAUUAGUAAUGUUAUAUUAUAUCCUAGUCUCGUUACACACAUAACUAAGAAGUUAAUGAAAUCAAGUUGUAAUUCAUGAUUAUAAUACUUAACUGAAUAUUAAUUAGUGAUAAUUAUAAUGUAGAACGUAAUAAUACGACCAGUGUUUACCGCUUCAAAGCGUCAAACGUGGACUGUGCUUUUCCUUCCGCAAUCCAGUCCGCAUGGAAAAAUAGAUAGCGCAACUGUUUGUGUACCUAAUGCUAAAGAGAAAUUGUAAUCUAGCGUACGUGAAUUAGGUUUCGUAAAACAAAGACGAACGAGCUGAAAGCAAACUGUGGAAAAGACAUGUGUAUUUCGGCGGGUUAAAGGGGAUCAACAGGGGGUACUGUGUAAGACUGGCGAGCUUAUUCCGCGACGCGGGGCGAAGUUACGUUUUUCAUUAAACCACCCACUCGCUCACCCCCCCGUCCCGUCGACUCUAAUAUUUCAAUCGAUUUGAAAAGUGCUGGCGCUGCCCGCUCCGCAUCCGUAUAAAUACCCCCGGACGUAUGUACGUGACCGCGAGAGAGGCGUGCGAGACACGUGGCUGGGUCGCACCCUCGUGCGACGCGAUGCGGCGCUAUGGCGCGCGCGUUGAGCCGCGUGCAAUUUGUUGUUUUUAUGAUUUAGAGGGCCGCAUGUACAAUAAUUCAGUCGGCCGGCACCCUCUCUUGCCUGCCGUCCUCUGUCGUCCCUUCUCCCCUCCCGAUCUCACCGGUCGGAGGGUCCUCCAUCACCCAAAUCCGCGGGGAGUCCGCGAGUGCGAGCCGGCGGGGAUACAUCGCCGAUACGCGCGCGUCCGUUAUUAAUUCUCGUCCUCGAUGGCGAGCGGUCGAGAGCAUCCCCUUCGCCCUCAUCGUCGCGCCACCCUUCUCCCUUCGCGCUCAUCUCGUCCCGUCUCUCGGUGUUUUCGCGCUCGCGCACGGAAAUUCGUGCGGCGAUGAAGGCGGCGGCGGCGGCGGCGCCGCGCGGCCAGGGGGAUCGUUAGCGGGGAGCACACACGAGUCGUUGCCGCUAAAAUAUCGUUCCGGUUUCCUUCGUGCCCGGCAACGUAUUGCGAUCCCUGCUUACACGCAGGCGUGCUUGAUUGAUUUAUUGGGUUCUCUGUUUUUGCGGGAUUCCCCGGAAAGCCCGCUCCGCGACUGGCGGGGAACCGAUGCGUAUUAACCCUUCGGUGACGCGCGUUUAAAUCAUCUGGAUUCGAUGGGGCUCCGAUUUUCUUUUCCGAAUCGCCGGGGUGACACCGCGGGAUUUUAUAAGCGCGUCGCUUUCGAGUGAUGGAUGGCCGGCCGCGAUUGUCUCGCGGGAAGCACCAUUUUGAUCAAGUUAGAAGCGAGUCUAAAUCAUUCCCGUGCAAAUCGUCUUGUUAGAAAAUGUACAUUAAGUGAUUGAAGUGAACGGUUUGUGUAUCUCGUUAGCUCGAGGGCGAGCUGCUAGAAAUUACGAUUUAAUACCGAUUUGUCAGCAACGAGCUGAGAUCUGCUGAAAUCGGCGAUUACCGCGCGCGCAGAGGAAACGUCCGAAUUGCGAAUCGGAGGUCGAUCCAGGGUUGUGUGCCGCCCAGCAGAUUUGGGCUUCCGGCCGCGAAACCCUCUCGAGGCAUCGGAUGGUAUGGGCGAAUUGCGAGCACACCGGGUUCGAACAAUGCAGUCUGCGCAGCCAAAUCCGCAAAGUCCUCUCAAUUAUGCGGCGAUGCUAAUUACUCGCGAGUGCACGCUGAAGGAGAGCCUCCACUCCGCACAACGGCUCUUCCUACUCUCUACAGUCUUCCAUUCUCGGCUAAUACUAAAGGGUGAAACGGAAUCAUGGGAAUUUCAUCGGGAAGUGGAGGGACGCAUGCUGCGCCUACCAACGAUCGGAGCACCUCUCUUUCGACGAGGUUUUAAUUAGGAAAGUUUAAGUCAACACUUCUCUACUUAUCGCGAGAAAAUAGAUGUAUACGUUAUGCAUACAUAGACGAUGUUUUGAUAUAAGGUUAGUUAACUGCUCUCUUAUACAGGGUGUUUUGUAACUUCAGAAAUGAAUUCAAGACACAAAAAUAGCAUAAAAUAUUUAUGUACACUAUAAUUCAAUUUUUAUUAUAAUUGAGUCAUAAUUAUAAUACAGAUUCGUCGAGAAGUUUUUUUUUUAGCUGCAUUGCUGCACUUUGAUGAUGCAAUAAAUUGGAACGAGAAAGAAAUACUUGAAUUAUUUAAUUUAUUGCCUCAGUGCAGCAGUGUAGCUAUAAAGAACAAGCCAAUAGAUAAUUUUAUUAAUAUUAUAACAUAGGCGAGAAAUACUAUUUAUAACUUUUAUCAGUAAAUGUUAUGAUUUUAUAAUUUGCAUAUUAUUUUUUAAAUUUUAUUACUUAUUCUAAAUUUUAUUUAAUCUCAGGGAAGUUAAUCGGCAGUGUACAAGGAACAGUAACGUUUGCAAACAUUUACAAGUAAAAAAAUUUGACAUUUUGAAUUAUAUUAUUUGUUGAAAAAUCUCAUGUUCUGCAUGCAAGAUGCUACGACGUCUUAUAUUAUAAAAGAUUGCCAACUAAUUUAGUUAAGUCUAAUUCUUAAAUUUUGAAUAAGUAAUAUAAUUAUGAGCAUAAUAUUCUCUAAUAUAAUUAUUAAAUUAAUAUAUUAUUAAACUGGAUCUCCAUCUAUUUUACGAUUAUUUUUACGUCGUUAUAAAUCAGUGAAAGAACGAUAUUGUGUUGAUACAAUAUGAAAUGUUCACUUUGCCAGUGAACCCCCGCAAAUCGAUACGAUGCUUCCGAGGUAGCUAUUCAGAAAUCGUCCGAGAUAUCUCGUCUACCGGUUGAUGCGUCAUCGGGCGCGGUCGCCGCGUUGUUCUCGCCGGUAAAUGGAAAGCAAACGAGGGGUUUUGGCACAGAGAGGCCGAGCGAUUGGCAAACAUCGGUUUCGACGCGCGACUGACGAGAAAAAUUUUCAAUUAGCCGAUGCACCCGCGGCAUCGCGUAACGUCGCUUCGGCGUCACUCGCCGCCGCCAGCAUGACGAUGCACACCACCGCUCUUCGCGGUCGUACCGAAAAAAAGAGACCGAAAUUAAUUACUUUCGGCGUCAACGACAGAUUCGCAGCUGACGGGACGAUCGAUCGUCACUCGCUUGAUACGAUUAAAUCUCCUCGCCCGUUCUAGGGCGACCCCUUUGCGACGUUAUAACUCUUUUCUCUUCGCCUACGCGUUACGCCGUAAGGGCGUUAAUAACAUUUGACGAGAGAGAGAGAGAGAGAGAAAGAGAGAGAGAGAGAGAGAGAGAGAGAGAGAGAGAGAGAGAGAGAGAGAGAGAGAGAGAGAGAGAGAGAGAGAGAGAGAGAGAGAGAGGAGAAAGAGAGAGACUAUUUGCUGUUUAAAGAACGCUGCGCGAACCGAGUGAGCAAACUUCGCUGAAUAUUCACCGCGCAAAAAGAAUUUAUAUUAGCACUGAGAUACACUGUUGUUCCGUUGAGAUUCGCCAGGAAUUAAACACGUUUGUCGGAUUCCGCGAUAUAUACGUGAAGUACCGCUAUUAACAUAUAUCUGAAAUUUUUACGAGAAAUGAUAAUCCUCCUUAAAAAAAAUGUACAUGGCAAAUCGGUAGACGAACAUAUUUGCAAUGUGUUUCAAUCAUGCGUUGCUUUAUUAUCCGUUUAUAUUCGUGGAAAAAAUCCCGUAGUUAUGAGUACGUAAAUGUGCACUUAAAGGCUUACGGUGUUCAAUCCGCGCAAAAAACUAUUUAUAUUCGUCACUCGCUGGGACGUUUCGAAAAUCAAAAGCUAAAGCGAUUUCUGUUUCGUGCCUGUUUCGUUAGUUACUAUUCGAAUGAAAGAGGCCGUAUUGGAACGAUAGGAGGAAAAGAGAGAAACGACUGCUCUUUGAUAUAAUACCGGAUUGCCGUAAUUCUACCUAGUAUUAAGCGAAGCGUUUUUCGCGCCGCGGUUAAAAAAUUCGCUUCAACAAGAGUGCGAUUACAUCCCGUCACAGACAUGACAAUGGAAUCUCUCGUCUCGCCAAUUACACCUCUUUCCAUUUAUCUUUUUCCCGCUGCUAACGCUCAUCCUUUUUUCCUGCAUAAAUCCUCUGUAAGCUAUUGGAUAUUGUCAAAUAGCUUUCGAAAAGCAAGACGAUACCUCUACCAAAGCUUUAGAUUUUAGAUCCUUGAAGGGCAUUGCAUUUUUAAUAACUAACAAACAACAAAGAGAUUAUUUUCGUGAGAGGGAUGAUUAAUUAAGUGACUUUCGGAAAAUACAACUUCUCAUUUAAGUUAUUGAAAUAAUUGUAUUGAAAUAUAGCGAAAUAUUUAAAUUGGAUGUUAUUAGUGAGGAAACAAUAGAACGUGCCCGACGCGCGAAUGUAGUGUCCUUUCCGCGAGAGAAAAUUAAGUACGCGGAGCAUAAUAAUACUGGUAACAACAAUACUAGUAUUUCGUAUUGCUGAAUUUACCGUUGCGGCGUGGUGCAACGAGUGCUGCAAUAACAGUAUCUUAUUUAGAUAACCAGUCGGGCACUUUAGUAACAGCUCUUCAAUUGCUGCGAGUUUCGCCUUUCUUUGUGUUUCAUGACAUCGUAGCAUACUUAAAAUAUAUUUGGAAAUCCUUGAGAAAUAUACAUUACUAAAUAGCGAAAUUUAAUAUCCUUUUAUUUUCUACUUCUGCGUUUCGUCUUAUCUUUAUUUUAAGGUGAAAUUACAAUGUGAAGAGAAUUUUGUUGUACCAAUUGUUACCAAAGACUGGUAAUAAAUUAAGUAAAAUAGGUAUUUCAAUAAAAAAUUGAAACUUCUUCAUAAAUAAAUUUCAUAUAUGAAAAAUGAUUCUAGGGUUUUCUAGAUGUAAAGUUUUGAAAAAGUUUUGAAAAGAAAAAUAGAAAAAAUAAUGUUUUUCUUAAGGGACUCAACGUUGUCUUAGUCGAACAUAAUGCAAGUUACCUUCAAUUUUGCUUUCUAAAUCUUUUUAAAUAGGUGCUUUUCUUAUGAAAAAAAUAAUUUUCACAAAAUUUUACUUUUCAUAAAAAAGCGUUGACUCCAAACAUGUUAUGGCAUCCGAGUGAACGUGAACUAAGUGUUGUCCACAGAGAAAUUGAUGGCCCGGGGUCGCAUCACACAGAGGUUUCCUCACCAUAAACUUUUUUAGGAGAGGUUAAAAAAAUAAAGAAGAGGAAAUUCUCUCUGAGAAACUUUUACGGGUGGUAAUCGGAACGCGGAAUAUUCAUGGGCCUCAAGAAUUAAAUGUACAAUAUUAUGAAUUUAGAAAGUCGUGGUAUAUCAUAGCAAACAGUUUCUGCGAGUAAUCGUCUUGCAUAUCGUAAGAUCGAUGACCUGACGAGAUCGUUACGAUACGCGAAGCUCAGGAUUACACCAACAUUCAGGAUCGAAUCCUGAUCGUCGGUAUAAUUCCGCGAAUUUCACCGUGAUAUGGUACAUAGAUGGUAGCGACCACACGCCAGCGUCUGUACAGCGACGGAAAUUUCAUUUCCCUCGGAUUUAAUCGACGUCUUUGUUCCUGACUCGCCGACCGUGAGCCCCGUGAAACGCGGCAGCUCGCGGGCGUAAUGUUAAUUUUUCGUUUCUUCCUUCACAUCCGUGGGUAACGGCACUUUGGAAACCGUCGUGCCGCGAAGCGAAGUUGGACGGCGAGUUGACCGCGGUGUAACACAGUCGGCUUCACUGAUUGCCAAUAUGGCAGAGUCCAUAGCGUACAACGCCGCGCCAUUCUAUAUCUGGGAUGGGUCGCGGACCCACAAUGUGCCGCGGGCGUUAAUUUCCUCGUGAAACGUAUUGCGCCCCUGCGAUUCAAUUGUUCCACCCCACGGCGUGCUAUGCCACGAUGGCGCUUGUCCGGAGCUCAUAAUGACGUGCAUCUCUGCUGACCGACCCUCUAUGUCCACGUGUUACGAGAUCGCGAGGAUGUGAACUUUAGGGCUCAUUUUGGAUUCUAUUCGUGUUUAUUCCUACGGAAAAUGAUAGUGGCUUUUUAUCAUCUUGAUUAAUCUUUAUAGAAUCAGCUACUACAGUAACGCUGAAACAAAGUCAUAUUUUGAAGCAAGGAAUACAAUGAAUCAUAAUAAAUUUUACUUAAGAGAAAACUGUAAGAGAGAUUUUAAACGUAGACGCCUCGUGUUCUCCAAGAGUUAAGGGUCUUGAUUACGUCACUCUGAUGCGCAACGUACAUAUUCAUUUUCCCGGUGGGUAGAGGAAUAUUGAUUUAAACUUUGUUAAUUAAAACUGCAUCGAAGGAGAGAUUCUCUAAAUGAUUUUCAUUUGCGCAACGGCUUGCUCGUGUGGAUAUUACCUUUCGUGAUCGACCCUUUAGGGACUAGAUAGCACGAGAGAUGGUGAACAAUCAACGUCGCAGCUGCGAUUUUCGGACUGAAUAAUACCUGAAGGGAAGGGUACACCUCGCGUCGCGGAUUCGCGAGGGAUCGAAACUGCCAGGCCGGUUUUCCCGCCGCAAAUUUACAGCGGCGAAAGCUAUACGAUACCAACAGCAAAUACGUUUCAGCUAGUACAAAUUCUAUGACAGCGACACAGAUUAAACUUUAGGCCUCGGGGUAACUAGCUCGAGGCGAGUUGCCGCGCUAGUUUUCCAGCCCUCUCGCCGCUUCCGUCACCCCCAUCCCCCGUUCCCCACUCCCCACCCCCUCCCGUUCGUCGCGCAAGCAGCGGCGGUGAUUGUUUCUCUCUCGCGGCAGGAAACAAAUCCGCGCGCGAUGACAACGCGACGCACGCUGCACUCCAACGGGGCUUCGUACCGACGGUGUGCCGCACUUGCAACAAAAGCACCCACCGCACAUCGCUCCGCAGAGUGCUGUUUGUCGCUUUCGCGUCGCGUGUUUACGCACUGGCGCACUGUAAUGAAUUCGAGAUGGUCUUCCAACGCGCGCUACUCUCCGGUUUUGUUACACUCCACGCUCCUCUACGUAUUCGAUUAGUCGCGGCAUACCCCAUACAUAUUGGGUCUGGCAUAGUUACAUGUUCGGUUUCUAACGCGUAUGCGCUACGGCACAUUGUUGAUAUUGCAAUAUAUAUAUAUACACUAAUAUAUAUAUCGCGAGAUUGCAUUAUCGUCGGCAAUUCUUCCGUGCACUCGGUAGUUUUCGUCGCGACACGAUACCGUCGAACGUUGCCCGAAUAUUGCCUAUCACCGAUCUCGAAGUAUAAAUAGAGCACAUUCGAAUUUUCGAUGUUCAUGGAUUUAUAGCGUACGAUCAAACAAGGCGACAUGAACCCGUAUUUAAAAUACUCUUUUAAAGCUGUUAGUACUGUUUUUCUGUCACUCUAUUCUUGUCUUACAUCUGAUACACAUUAAAGAUGAAAAAUCGCGGAUAUAACAUCUUUAUAAGCGCAUUCUAAAAACGAAUCAUAAUAGUUAUUCAUAAAGUAAUGAAACGAUUACGUUUGGAAAUAUAAAAAAAUAAUUUUAUCGGUCUAAUCUUGUCAACUGAAGUAUCAAAUAUGGAUAGAAAAAUCCAUUUGUAUCAAAAUAAAUAUUACCAAAGACAUUAAUAAUUCUAAAAAUAGCUUAGAAAUUCACAUCGAACAACGUAGCCGAAG